UUCCUUCACAAAACCCUAGUUUCUUCUAUCUUUCUCUACGCCCCCUCUGUUCGCAACCUUCCCUUGUUUCCGGCCUCACUCUGCUUGCACUCCAUUCUCACCCUCCCUCUAUUUGCAUUAUUUUCUCUGCUUCUUCUUUGUUCGAAACCACCUUCGCGGAAAUUUCGUGUUUAACUCCCCGUUCGUACUCACGACCUUUUGUAUUUCUCGUGCUCAUCUACCAUAUGACUGGUCUCAGACUCAAGUUCAUAAGAUAAGGUGUUUGAAAAGCUUUAGAAGAAACGAAAGACUGGAGCUGGUGAAAAUUGAGUCCAGAAAAUUGCAUAAUUUUAUAGCUCCAUUACAACACAUGAACUGUUACAAACGAGUAUCACUUGCUGGUGUAUUAUGAUUAAACAGAGUAUUCCAACUGCAUUGCAACAGUAACGACUUCACAGGUUCUUUCUUACUUCAGUUUAUGUUAGAUUUUUAGCCACAAGAUUGCAUGAUGUGUCUAAUGGUGUUGUCUUGGAAGUGAAGGAUGAGGAGUACUUAUGUAUUCCAAUUACUAU